GCCAAGAACCGUCAAUGAAAUUCCUUGUGCCGGCGCGCGCCCUUAUUCCAUAUAUUUUUAUUACUUGAAAAGAGAUGCGUGCAAAAAAAGUUUUCUUUUCUUCUUUUUUCAUCAAUGCAUGGAUAACUGAGGUCAAAAAUUCCAGAUGCCAAGUAAAUCAGGUAGAUGAGUGUGUUUAAGUAACCCAUGUCCAAUAGAUUUCAGAGGUUUUCCAACAGAUCCUGCAUGAGAUGUGGUGAGAUCGGGACCGCUCCAGUGACCAAUCCCUUAUCACUCAGCCAAAAGGGGGCAGCAAACGACCUCCUGCAUGGAAGACGCCCGAUGAAGAUGUCCUCUUCUAAACUGGCCAGAAGCAGUCUGUCCCCUCCAGGCCCCCAGAGACAGGAGACCCUGAGGCCAAGAGUGCUGGGCACACAGGAUCAAUAAUGCCCCUUGAGCUUCCUGGGGCUUAGACAAUCAAUGCUGCCCGAACCGGGCCUUGAGGAAAAGCUCUCCAGAAGAUCUCCAAAGAUCUUAAACAAAUACUCCACAGCUGCCUGCAUCUUGGCUUGAAGAUAAAAGCACUAUCAGCAGCCACAGUGUGAGUGAUGAAUGCGCUGGCAAAGCUAUUGGCCUGUCCCUUAACACAGCAGUGUAAUGGUCCCAUUGUGUAUUUCAACUUAUUCACAUCACAGCUCCCCAUGGAUUCUAACAGCACCUCAGCACUUUAUAUUAUUGGUUUUGUUUUAAAACAUUAUUUCAUCCUACUGUAUAUGGUAUUUCUAUUUAUACAAUAGAAUAUACCUUCUCUGUGUAAAGCUGCUUUGAGACAAUGUACAUAA